UUACGGCCACAUCACUUUGAAACACCGAUUCUCUUAUGAUCGCCGAAGUUAAGCAACGUCGAACCUGGUCAGUACCUAGAUCGAUGACGGCUUGGGAAUACGAUGU